rnacentral:rRNA from 1 species
CUGGCGGCGUGCUUAACACAUGCAAGUCGAACGCGAAAGGGACUUCGGUCCUGAGUAAAGUGGCGCACGGGUGAGUAACGCGUAGAUAACCUGUCUUCAUGUCUGGAAUAAUACGCCGAAAGGGGUACUAAUACCGGAUAUUCUUGCUUUUCAUAAGUUAUGCAAGCAAAGGUGGCCUCUGCAUAUGCUACUGCAUGAAGAGGGGUCUGCGUACCAUUAGCUAGUAGGUGGGGUAAUGGCCUACCUAGGCGACGAUGGUUAGCGGGUCUGAGAGGAUGAUCCGCCACACUGGCACUGGAACACGGGCCAGACUCCUACGGGAGGCAGCAGUGAGGAAUAUUGCGCAAUGGGGGAAACCCUGACGCAGCGACGCCGCGUGAGUGAAGGAAGGCCUUCGGGUCGUAAAGCUCUGUCAAGAGGAAAGAAGUGUACAAUGGCUAAUACCUGUUGUAUUUGACGGUACCUCUAAAGGAAGCACCGGCUAACUCCGUGCCAGCCGCUGC